CCGCCAUGUUGGUGCAUUGUUUGUCUGGUCGAGGUACGGUGCUUGUAUAUACUGUUUGUCAAGUUUGUGUGUCCUGUUUUCAGUUGGACUAACAACAGUGUUCACGACACAGGUUCGGCUUGGCAGCUGACGUGAGUCCAGAGCGAUGUCCACGUGAGGUAUUAAUCUUCCCCAAGCACCUGCAGACAGUCUGUGGCGUUAUGGCCGUGACCCAGAAUGCAUGUCCAAUUUCCCUUCACCUAAUUUUUUGUCAGCAAGUCAGCACUGCCCGGUGAACCUCCCAACACGUGAAAAUGAGCCUAACUAGACAUCUCUCAUGUGUGGUUCCUCAACUGGGUAACAAGCUACCCCUCCACAUCAGUACCUCUCAACCUUCAAGAAACACCUCAUCUUUUCCAGGAAACCCCCUACUUGCUCAUCAAACCACUAUGCUGCCUCAUCUUUAUCAGCUAUCCCACCCUUGGUUAUGGUCUCUUGGCAACAUGCUGUUGUAU